rnacentral:pre_miRNA from 1 species
CUGUGAGCAGGCAUCUUCCCAGCCUACAUGUAGAUCCAGUAAUCUGCAGGCUGGUUAGAUGGUUGUCACAUGU